rnacentral:pre_miRNA from 1 species
UCAUCAGCAUCGUGGUGGUGGUGGUGGUGGUGGUGAUGGUGAUGGUGGUCGUCAUCAUCAUCAUCAUCAGCACCACCACCACCAUCACCAUCAUUA